rnacentral:rRNA from 1 species
UGGGGAAUUUUGGACAAUGGGCGAAAGCCUGAUCCAGCCAUUCCGCGUGAGUGAAGAAGGCCUUCGGGUUGUAAAGCUCUUUCGCAAGGGAAGAACACUUACUUAAUAACACUAAGUGAGGUUGACGGUACCUUGAUAAGAAGCACCGGCUAACUAC